rnacentral:rRNA from 1 species
GACGAACGCUGGCGGCGUGCCUAAUACAUGCAAGUUGAGCGCUGAAGGUUGGUACUUGUACCGACUGGAUGAGCAGCGAACGGGCGAGUAACGCGUGGGGAAUCUGCCUUUGAGCGGGGGACAACAUUUGGAAACGAAUGCUAAUACCGCAUAAAAACUUUAAACACAAGGUUUAAGUUUGAAAGAUGCAAUUGCAUCACUCAAAGAUGAUCCCGCGUUGUAUUAGCUAGUUGGUGAGGUAAAGGCUCACCAAGGCGAUGAUACAUAGCCGACCUGAGAGGGUGAUCGGCCACAUUGGGACUGAGACACGGCCCAAACUCCUACGGGAGGCAGCAGUAGGGAAUCUUCGGCAAUGGACGAAAGUCUGACCGAGCAACGCCGCGUGAGUGAAGGAGGUUUUCGGAUCGUAAAACUCUGUUGGUAGAGAAGAACGUUGGUGAGAGUGGAAAGCUCAUCAAGUGACGGUAACUACCCAGAAAGGGACGGCUAACUACGUGCCAGCCGCCGCCGUAACAC